GAGGAAUAUUGGUCAAUGGACGAGAGUCUGAACCAGCCAAGUAGCGUGAAGGAUGAAGGUUCUAUGGAUUGUAAACUUCUUUUAUACGGGAAUAAACGAAUCCACGCGUGGAUUUUUGCAUGUACCGUAUGAAUAAGGAUCGGCUAACUCCGUGCCAGCAGCCGCGGUAAUACGGAGGAUCCGAGCGUUAUCCGGAUUUAUUGGGUUUAAAGGGAGCGUAGAUGGGUUGUUAAGUCAGUUGUGAAAGUUUGCGGCUCAACCGUAAAAUUGCAAUUGAUACUGGCAGUCUUGAGUACAGUUGAGGUAGGCGGAAUUUGUGGUGUAGCGGUGAAAUGCUUAGAUAUCACGAAGAACUCCGAUUGCGAAGGCAGCUUACUAACCUGUAACUGACAUUGAUGCUCGAAAGUGUGGGUAUCAAACAGGAUUAGAUACCCUGGUAGUCCACACGGUAAACGAUGAAUACUCGCUGUAGGCGAUAUACGGUCUGCGGCCAAGCGAAAGCAUUAAGUAUUCCACCUGGGGAGUACGCCGGCAACGGUGAAACUCAAAGGAAUUGACGGGGGCCCGCACAAGCGGAGGAACAUGUGGUUUAAUUCGAUGAUACGCGAGGAACCUUACCCGGGCUUAAAUUGCAACCGAAUAUGGCGGAAACGCCAUAGCUAGCAAUAGCGGUUGUGAAGGUGCUGCAUGGUUGUCGUCAGCUCGUGCCGUGAGGUGUCGGCUUAAGUGCCAUAACGAGCGCAACCCUUGCCGAUAGUUACUAACAGGUUAUGCUGAGGACUCUGUCGGGACUGCCAUCGUAAGAUGUGAGGAAGGUGGGGAUGACGUCAAAUCAGCACGGCCCUUACGUCCGGGGCUACACACGUGUUACAAUGGGGGGUACAGAGGGCUGCUACCACGCAAGUGGAUGCCAAUCCCAAAAACCUCUCUCAGUUCGGAUUGAAGUCUGCAACCCGACUUCAUGAAGCUGGAUUCGCUAGUAAUCGCGCAUCAGCCACGGCGCGGUGAAUACGUUCCCG
rnacentral:rRNA from 1 species